rnacentral:pre_miRNA from 1 species
CGUUCCAGAGAUGCGUUUACAAGAGUUCUUGUAAUAUCUGUAAAUGCAUUUUCUGGAAUGAA